rnacentral:lncRNA from 1 species
CCGUACGCGCCGAAAUAUUGGUGUUCCUCUGCUCUGCUCUGCUCUGUCCCCUCCGAAAUAUUCCGUUGUUGUUCAUACUCCAUAGGAGGAAGGAGUAUUCCGUUGUUGUUCAUACUCCAUAGGAGGAAGGAGGGAAAAAAAACAUUCUCCAAUAGUUUUGAUCAUCUUCAUGACAUCGCUAAACAGGUUGUUUAGCUUACGUAUCAUGCAUGCAAGAAGUGGGCGAUCGGGAUUAGAAACACAGCUCUCAGCUCUCUCUCUCUCUCUCAGGCUCUCACAAGGAUCACAGACGACGGUGACUGAAUUGGAUCCAGUCACCGUCGCUGUUGACUCGGGAGUCAAUCAAGUCAAGGUUGAUUACGUACGAACAAAAUGUGCGCCAAAACACGACUAGUCAGUGGUAAUACGAGACGCCCAUAAUUUGGACUUGGACACUCUGCCAACGCUGCUGCCUAUAGACCGUGUCUGACUCUGAAUAAAGCUUUUGCCCUGAGACCGUGACUUUCGGGGGGUUCAUCGUCGUGUGCCACGAAAGCUCCCAUGGCCCAAUCUGUGAUCUGAGAUUGUUGAGCCGUUGACGUUGAGCGAUUCAAGUCGUGUUUGAUUACUUUGAUUUUUUUUUUGUUUUUGUUUUUGUCCAGCGAAAGAAAAAGUUGAUUACUUUGAUGAAUCUGUGCAGCGCGUGCGUUCCCACGAUACUCCUACUUGCUCAUUGCUCUAGUGCUGAUAGUUUGUUGCUGGUGUGUAGUACCAUCCGUAGGAAUUUCAGUGAGUCGGCCAUCAAAGAGCGGUGAGCAGUUUUAACUGAAGGUAAAGAUGGGUUUCGUCCUGCAUGUGACGGCCUCGGUUUCCUGUGUGUGACGAAGCCGCCACGGCAUUGCACUGAAACUUCUUCACUGUCCGACGACCGCAACUCAUGGAUCGUCUGAUCCGGCGGCCGGUGACGCGGAAACCCUGGGCGGGCCGGGCCGGGCCAGGCCGUAGACUGAAUCCGUAGUCCCUGUGAGGAUGUCCCACAGCUUACUUUCCGGCCCGGCCCGGCCUGCCUGCCCGUACCGGAGAGCACAGCGACCGAUCCCGAGUCGGACACUGUCACUGCUUUGCCCACGACCGCCGAUGGAAUGG